AAGGAAUUUUGGACAAUGGGGGCAACCCUGAUCCAGCAAUGCCGCGUGAGUGAAGAAGGCCUUCGGGUUGUAAAGCUCUUUUGUCAGGGAAGAAACGGUCCGGGCUAAUAUCCUGGGCUAAUGACGGUACCUGAAGAAUAAGCACCGGCUAACUACGUGCCAGCAGCCGCGGUAAUACGUAGGGGGCGAGCGUUGUCCGGAGUUACUGGGCGUAAAGCGCACGCAGGCGGUGCUGCAAGUUUGGGGUGACAGCUCUCGGCUCAACCGAGAGAGCGUCUCGAAGACUGCAGGACUUGAGGGCCAGAGAGGGACACAGAAUUCCGGGUGGAGUGGUGAAAUGCGUAGAUAUCCGGAGGAAUACCAAAGGCGAAGGCAGUGUCCUGGCUGGCACCUGACGCUCAGGUGCGAAAGCUAGGGGAGCGAAC
rnacentral:rRNA from 1 species